GAUUUUCAUUACUGACUCCCAGUUCAAUCUGGGACCCGUAGCGCUACCGGGCCACACCUGAGUCACCUGCACCCUGGCUAGGAAGGAGGUAGAGAAAUGGAUCACUGGAAUCAAGAGUCAGAGCUGCAAUUCAUAAGGUGCAGGAACUGGGGUAGCUAAGCACAGCAAUGUGGUCUCCUAUCCUCUCAGUGUCAAUGACAAAAGUCGGUGCCCAACAGUGCCCUGCCAUGACUGCCACUGCCACCACUUGGACCCCAGAGAACAGAGAUGGUGUUAGAUGCUCGCAGCUGGGGAAGAGGCAUGAAAUAUCUGUGAUAAUCUCCACGUAACUUUCCUGAGGAAAACACCAGACAGAACCAGCUUGCCAGAGCCGGCCAAACCCUUGCGGGACAGCAGCACCCUGAAGACAUGGGGUCUCAGGAGGGGGUGUGAAGUCUCCCAGGCCAGACAGAACCUUGAGGCAACUGCACACACCAGCUAUGCUUAACACCUGGGACCAAGAGCGAGCAGAGGAGAUUUCCCAGGUAACAACUGUUAUAAAUUGCAGGUCGGCUAGAGCAGAGAGUGAGCAGGCUGAGAAAAUCACAGCACACCAUGCCUUGGGGGAAACAAGCAACUGCAGGAAGAAGACAAAGCAGAACACUCAGUGAGGGUUCCUGGAAAACAGAAUGGUCAGAGGAGACAACAGCUUUAAUGAAAAGUAAGAACACUUAAAGAGACUCCUUUCAAACAUAAAACGUCAGGCAACUAAAAAGCAUGGUUUUCAAACAACUGCCUACAUUCAUACAAAAGAGGAUGGUCACUUUUGGGAGCUAAUCUGCAGUCUAGAAAACAUAAAUGGAAGAAAUCAAUUCAAAAACAAAAAGAAUAUCUUUUACAAUCCAGUUGCAAAAUAGGAACUACUACAAUUGGUCUAAGCAAAAAGAAAUGUGAUCCAGCAAAAGGAUGCUUACAAGCUUGUCAGCACUGGGGAAGCAGCUGUCGCACUGUCUCCUUAGAACUCAUUACCAAGUAACUGUCGCCCAAAAACCUACCCCUGUAGCGGAUGCGACGUCCCCCCGCCGCUGUGCUGCGCAUGUGUGGACACCGCCCCGCACUACCCACCCACCCCCACCCCCCCCGCCCGCUCGUGCCUAUGCUUACUGAUGUCUGGUUGAUAGGAGGCAGGCUGAAAAAAAGUCUGAGACAUGUGACGUCUGGUUGAUAGGAGGCAGGCUGAAAAAAAGUCUGAGACAUGUGGGCUUGCUUUUUCUAAACCUAACGUACACAGGAGGCAUGCUAGAUGGGGUGUGGAGUUAUUAUCUAUUAUCUUGUAGCUAAUGUAAUAUGGAAAACUGCCAUUAUGUCGCAAGAUUUGGAAGUGAAAAAACAUACUCCCUCCCCGCAAAAAAGAGGCGAUCUCUGUGUGCAUAGGCAGACCAGGCAUAUGUUUAAUACAUAGUGAGGAAUAAUUUAAAUUUUAGAAGUACUGUUUUAACUGCUAUAAAGACUUGUGUGAGCCUUUCUGGAUGGGUUUCUUAUGGGUUCACAUUGCUCGCAAAUGUAAAUUCUUACAGCAGACUGCCUUUUUAACACGUUCACUUGAAUUAGUUAAAUUAGGCUCACAUUAGAUAGCCUCCAGCACUGCAAAGGUAAACCGGAUGCUGGUUUGCACACAGACAGAGCAGUGGGGCCUCUAGCUGCCCUUAUCAGGACUGAUGCAUCUACUGCUGCCAAGAUGCCCAGCCGCCCCCCCCCCGGCACUUACCAAGCUGUCUGUAAGUGCUAUGCUUUUGAUCUUUCUUCACUCAAAG
rnacentral:lncRNA from 1 species